CUGCUUGGAUCGAGGGGGUUACUGUUUGGAUACAGAGAUAGAGAGAAGCUCAGAGCCUCAGAUGGUUUCAUUUGCAUACGGAGAUAGAGAGAUAAAGAGAGGGGGAAGAGUGAGGCGAUGGGAGCGGAAGACCCAACAACAAAUAUAUAUGAUUUCCAAUCUGAAACUGAAAGAGACGACUGAUUCGAGAGAAAGGGAAGAACAUGGCGAAUCAAGGUGGUUCUUGGGUUUUGAUUUGAGGAAGAACAUGGGGACGGGAAGAGAACGAACAAUGCGAAUCUCGGUUCUUGAGUUCAUCUGAGAAGAACACAAAUCUGGGUAUAUCUAUUUCUUUUUUUUUUUUCUUUUUUUAAUAAUUUCUUCUGAUCGAUUACACCGCUUUCAUCUUUCGCUUCUGGGUUUUUUCGCUCCAUAGAGACAGAUAGCGAGAGCGAAGAGAGCAAAGGAAGAAGGGAAAGAAGAAGACAUUCGGGAGAAGACAGAAAAGAGAAGAUUGGAACAAAGUAGUGGAGAUACUAUGAUUUUGGUCCAAAAGGAGUAGUUGCCCUUAUUCGUCUUUCUGGAACAGCAGGGACGGUGGAUGUCUGUUACAAGAAGAUCAUGCCAUUGUCCAUGAAGGAUUUCUAUGAGGAUAUACUUGAGGAGCUUAGCAGGAACAAACAUAUCAUUCUCAGACUAUAAUUAAAGAGUUGGUGCAUGAAAAGCAAUGGGAUAGGCAAGAAAUAGAUGACUCGAUGAAUGUUUGUGGAAUGUUUGUAGUAGUAAACACUAAAUGUAAUGUGAAUGUAAUGUGCAUUUUCUGGAAUCACAGUGUAUAGAACAUGUGAAUGUAAUGUGCAUUUUCUGGAAUCACAGAGCUUUGCUCUUGCUAUGC